AACGAACGCCGGCGGCAGGCUUAACACAUGCAAGUCGAGCGCCCCGCAAGGGGAGCGGCAGACGGGUGAGUAACGCGUGGGAACGUACCCUUUGCUACGGAAUAGCUCCGGGAAACUGGAAUUAAUACCGUAUGUGCCCUACGGGGGAAAGAUUUAUCGGCAAGGGAUCGGCCCGCGUUGGAUUAGCUAGUUGGUGGGGUAAUGGCCUACCAAGGCGACGAUCCAUAGCUGGUCUGAGAGGAUGAUCAGCCACAUUGGGACUGAGACACGGCCCAAACUCCUACGGGAGGCAGCAGUGGGGAAUAUUGGACAAUGGGCGCAAGCCUGAUCCAGCCAUGCCGCGUGAGUGAUGAAGGCCUUAGGGUUGUAAAGCUCUUUCACCGGAGAAGAUAAUGACGGUAUCCGGAGAAGAAGCCCCGGCUAACUUCGUGCCAGCAGCCGCGGUAACAC
rnacentral:rRNA from 1 species